rnacentral:piRNA from 1 species
UAGCAAUGUCAAAGAUGCUAGCCUUCUA